rnacentral:sRNA from 1 species
GAGUUGCUCACUUCUUGUCCAGAGCAGUCUAAGCAUUUAAAUUCUGUAAAGAUGAUAUCUUAAUGCUUUAGUCAUUAAAGAGGCAUUGCAAUGUAAUUUUAAUCAAAGUGUCAAUAGCGUUCAAACACAUACUUUUGAAAAAGCUAGUCAAACUUGGCUUCAGUAAUUAUAUCUUACUGCAAAAGAAGUUUAAGGCACCCAACCAAAUCAAAUUCAAAGUCACAACUGUUUACCUUUAUUAUGUGCACCAAAAAUGUUUCAAAACUAAAUAUUUUUGUGGUAGCAUCAUAUACCACAUGGUUUUUGGCUUUAACAAAGAUUUAUGUAGAUAUACAUUUAUUUUAAAUAACUUUCUCUAGAAUUGCAUGUAUUAGACCAAAUACUCAAGUCCAUCAGGUUCUUUGAUAGAGCUCAUUUUUUUCCUAUUAAGAAUAAAUGUAUAUGUAUUGUGAUCUUUAUCUUUUUUGUAGCACAGAAUACACAGCAUUUCAAAUGCACUUUCACUGUAUUGUCUCAGAGGUGGUUUAUCUACCGAUAUAUAGAGUGUUCUGUGUAGCUGCACUAUGGUAGCUCUUACUAUUUUUCAUCAUCCUUGCCUCCACAGAAUGAUUGAAGCACAGUGUUAAUAAUUUAGGAGACAAAUGUAUUUACAAUCUUUAAAGAACAGUUUUGUUGAUAAUAAAAUACAUCUGUUUAGAAUUAUGUUGUUUUAUGAAAUAGAUCGUUUAAUAAAGUUUUCAUAAGAUCU